AGGUUAUAAAAGAGAACAUUUGCAGAGCUCUCCUGAACUCACCCCUUCCGCCUAUAAGAGCUAGGCCCUGGCCUGGACCCAUCCAGGAGGCAGCUAGAGAGCACCCGCGACCCGCUCCCUCCCCUCCCACACGAUGCAGGAGCCUGUCGGCUAAUAAAGCCCUGUUUCUAAAGAAUGUUUUUAAUCUUGGAACAAUGGGGAGGGAGCUCGGACAUCGCACGCUUCCCUCUCCUUGGUAUCUGACAGGAGGAGAAGAAAGCAGGU